rnacentral:rRNA from 1 species
AUUGAACGCUGGCGGCAGGCUUAACACAUGCAAGUCGAGCGGGGGGAGGUAGCUUGCUACCGGACCUAGCGGCGGACGGGUGAGUAAUGCUUAGGAAUCUGCCUAUUAGUGGGGGACAACAUCUCGAAAGGGAUGCUAAUACCGCAUACGUCCUACGGGAGAAAGCAGGGGAUCUUCGGACCUUGCGCUAAUAGAUGAGCCUAAGUCGGAUUAGCUGGUUGGUGGGGUAAAGGCCUACCAAGGCGACGAUCUGUAGCGGGUCUGAGAGGAUGAUCCGCCACACUGGGACUGAGACACGGCCCAGACUCCGACGGGAGGCAGCAGUGGGGAAUAUUGGACAAUGGGGGGAACCCUGAUCCAGCCAUGCCGCGUGUGUGAAGAAGGCCUUAUGGUUGUAAAGCACUUUAAGCGAGGAGGAGGCUACUUUAGUUAAUACCUAGAGAUAGUGGACGUUACUCGCAGAAUAAGCACCGGCUAACUCUGUGCCAGCCGCCGCAGUAA